GGAAGCUAAGCUAAACCAAUCGAAGGCCACGGCCAUGGCUGCCGCUCCAGCCACCACGUCACUGCUGAGCGCGCUGCUGCAGCUUCCCCUGGCCCCGUUCUCCGGGAGGAGGUCGCCGCCGCCGCCGUCGGUGGUCCACGUGGCGCCCCCGCGCUCGCCGACGGCGGCGGUCGCGGCGACCAAGGGGUACAAUGUGCAGAUCGUGGUGGACGAGAACGAGGGGGA
rnacentral:misc_RNA from 1 species